AAAAGACAGAAGUUAUGAAGAGGAACUGAUCUUUAGGGACUAUGAGGAUGAAAGAAGUCUACUUUAUAAAAAUAUUUUGUUCAUCUCAGCUAUGUGAAAGUUCUAAAGAAUAUUCUCUAACUCAUGAUGGGUUAUAUAAAAUGUGCCCAAAAAGGAGGGCUUGAUUUUUAUUGUCUAUUGCUUGAGAGAAGCUGGUCCCACGUUUUCGUUACAGUUGGUAUUUCUACCUCACGGCAGGAAUGGCAGUCUGCUGGAUAACCACCUUGCGUAUUUCUACCACCUGAAGAUCUCCAUGUGGAAAGUUCCAAGGUUAAUUUUCCUUCUUCCUGAAGAACCUGUCCAGUGCUUUCAAGUUCAAUCGUGUCACUCCAGGGAAUGUGACAGCUGUGCAGAAAAACAGCCUUUGCUCAUGUUUCUGGCUCCAGUUAUAGCAACACCAGGCAGCACAGGGCAGCGAAAAUAGCAUGGUCGGAGGAAGGCGGACCCUGACCCUGAUUCCACGACUUAUCACCUGUCACCUUGGAAAAGUUGUUCUGGAGUGCCAUGAACUGUGCCCACGUAAGAUGGCGAACUUAAUCAACAAACGGUGUGUGUUUUCUGGCUGCUCCACUGACUGGCCACUGCCUGAUCUCUCCCCGUCUCCUCAGGCCUCCCUCUUCCCUGAGACACAACAAUAUUGAAAUUAGGCCAAUGAAUAACUCUACAAUCGCCUCUAAGUGUUCAAGUGCAAGGAAGAGCUGUACGGCUCCCGCUUUCAGUCAAAAGCUAGACACGAUUAAGCCUAGGGAGGAAGGCACGUGGAAAGCUGCGACAGGCUGAAAGCUAGGCCUCUUGCACCGAACAGUCAAGUUGUGAAUGCAAAAGAAAAAUUCUUGAAGGAAAUGAAAAGUGCUACUCCAGUGAAUGCACGUGAAUCGGCCUGAUUGCUGACCUGGAGAGAAGAGCCAACCAGCCACAACAGUCCUGUAAGCCCAAGCCCGACUCCCUUCAAUUCUAUGAAGGCAGCGAGAGGGGAGGAAGCUGCAGAAGGAAAGUGUGAAGCCAGCAGAGGUUGUCCCUGACGUUUAAGGAAACAAGUCAUCUCUGUCACAGAAAAGUGCAGGGUGAAGCAGCAGAUGCUGAUGUAGAAGCUGUAGCAAGUUACCAGAAGACCCAGCUGAGAUAGAUCAUUAAUGAAGGUGCCUACACCAAGUGGAUUUUCACUGUAAAUCAAACAGCCUUAUACUGGAAGAAGGUGCCAUCUAGGCUUUCACAGCUAGAGAGAAGUCAAUGCCUGGCUCCAGAGCUCUAAAGGACAGUCUACCUCCUUAGGGGUGAAUGUCAUUGAUGGCUUUAAAGCUGAAGCCAGUGUUCACUGGCUGUUCUGAAAAUCCCAACGCCCUUAAGAAUUAUGGAAAAUGUACUCUGCCUGUGCUCUAUAAAUGGGACAACAAAGCCUGUUUAUCAGCACUUCUGUUUCCAACAUGGUUUACUGUAUGUUUUAAGCCCACUGUUCAAAGCUAGUGCUCAGAUUCUUUCUGAAAUACUACGAAAGCACCUUGCCACCAAGAGCUCGGAUGGAGAUGUAAAACGAGACUAAUGUUGUUUUCAAGCCUGCUAACACAACAUCCAUUCUGCAGUCCAUGGAUCAAGGAGUAAUUCUGACUUUCAAUUCUUACUAAGACGUACAUUUUUGUAAAGCUAUGGCUGCCAUAGAUAGUGACUUCUCUGACGGAUUUGGGCAAAAUAAGUUGAAAACUGAAUUAUGGAAAGAUAACUUUCUGGAAAGAGUUCACACUAGAUGCUGUUAAGAACAUUUGUGAUUCAUGGGAAGAGAUCAAAAUAUCAACAUUAACAGUUUGGAAGAAGUGGAUUCCAAUACUCAUGAAUGACUUUGAGGGGUUCAAGCCUUGAGUGGAGAAAGUCCCUGCAGCUGGGGUGUAAAUAGCGGGAGAAUUGGAAUUAGAAGUGGAGCCUGAAGAUGGGGCCGAAUUGCUGCCACCUUGUGAUCAAACUUUAAUGGAUGAGGAGUUGCUUCUUACGGAUGAGCAAAGAAAGUGGUUUCUGGAUCUGGAAUCUACCCCUGUGAAGAUGCUGUGAAGACUGUUGAAAUGACCACAGAGGACUGAGAAUGCUACAUACACUCAGCUGAUAAAGCAGCACAGUAUUUGAGAGGAUCAAGUCCAAUUUGGGGAGAAGUUCUACUGUGGGUCAAACGCUAUCGAACACCAACCACUGCAUGCAUGCUACAGAGAAAGUGUUUGUGAAAAGAAGAGUCAAUAAUGUGGCAAACUUCACUGUUGUCUUAUUUUAAGAAGUUGCCACAGCCACCCCUGCCUUCAGAAGCCACCAACCUCAGGGCAAAACCCUCCCCCCCAGAACAAAAAAUGACUUUCUGAAAGCUCAGAGGACAGUAGCAUUUUUUUAGCAAUAAAGUAUUUUAAAAUUAAGAUAUGUACUUUUUUUGGCCUUAAUGCUACUGCACACUUAAUAGAUUACAGUAUAAUCACAAAUUUCAUUUUUUAAGCAUAACUUUUAUAUGUACUGAGAAACCAAAAAAUUCAUUUGACCCACUUCAUUGCAAUAUUCACUUUAUUGUGGUGGUCUGGAACUGAACCUGUAAUCCCUCUGAGACGUGUCUGUAUCACACUGAGAAAAAUUUAAAAGGCUGACUCUAAUACCCUCUGGUUUUACCCACAUUGCUGCAAAUGGAAGGAUUUCAUUCUUUCUCAUUGCCAAGUAGUAUUCCAUUGUAUAUAUAAACCAUAUUUUAUUUAAGUGAAAUAAGGUAGUCAGA